rnacentral:rRNA from 1 species
AUGGCCUGGCGGUGGGAGGGGAUGGCCAGGCCCAGGCGGCGGCGGGAGGGGCCGGCGCGGCGGUCUGAAGCUCCAACAACGCUGCUAGCUCCUUCAUGGUGCUUACCUCCGGCAGGUGGUGGUCCUCGGCGAUUCCGUUGGCGUCCCGUGGAAGAAGGUUUGCUGUGGAGAGGACAUGCGCCAGAGGACGACGUACGGACGGAAUUGGAGCUAGUAGCAUUCUUGGAUCUGCUUGUACGAGCAGAAAUGGCCAGUUCAUCAUCAGUUCUCUUCUACUUCAUCGUGUGUUGUUUUAUGCAUGCUUUGUGUUUGAUGGUACCUGGCUACUAG